CGAACGAAGCGCUUUUCCGGAACUCUUCGGAGGGAAAGGGAAGUGACUGAGUGGCGGACGGGUGAGUAACGCGUGGGCAACCUGCCCCAUACAGGGGGAUAACAGCCGGAAACGGCUGCUAAUACCGCAUAAGCGCACGGGACCGCAUGGUUCUGUGUGAAAAACAAUAGUGGUAUGGGAGGGGCCCGCGUCUGAUUAGCCAGUUGGCGGGGUAGAGGCCCACCAAAGCGACGAUCAGUAGCCGGCCUGAGAGGGCGGACGGCCACAUUGGGACUGAGACACGGCCCAAACUCCUACGGGAGGCAGCAGUGGGGGAUAUUGCACAAUGGGGGAAACCCUGAUGCAGCGACGCCGCGUGGACGAAGAAGUAUUUCGGUAUGUAAAGUCCUAUCAGCAGGGAAGAAGAAAUGACGGUACCUGACUAAGAAGCCCCGGCUAACUACGUGCCAGCAGCCGCGGUAAAUACGUAGGGGGCAAGCGUUAUCCGGAUUUACUGGGGUGUAAAGGGAGCGCAGGCGGCAGCGCAAGUCUGAUGUGAAAGCCCGGGGCCCAACCGCGGGACUGCAUUGGAAACUGCGCAGCUGGAGUGC
rnacentral:rRNA from 1 species